rnacentral:piRNA from 1 species
UGUAAUGUAAAUACGACUAUC